GACGAACGCUGGCGGCGUGCUUAACACAUGCAAGUCGAACGGAAAGGCCCUGCUUUGGUUGGGUGCUCGAGUGGCGAACGGGUGAGUAACACGUGAGUAACCUGCCCUGGACGUUGGGAUAACUUCAGGAAACUGGGGCUAAUACCGGAUAGGAGCUCCUGCUGCAGGGGGGGGGUUGGAAAGUUUCGGCGGGUGGGGAUGGACUCGCGGCUUAUCAGCUUGUUGGGGGGGGAGUGGCUUACGGAGGCAUUGGCGGGUAGCCGGCCUGGGAGGUGGACCGGCGACAAUGCGCCUGCGGUAGGGCCCAGUGUGCAACGGGAGGCAGCAGGGGGGAAUAUUGCACAACGGGCGGAAGCGUGAUACGGCAGCGCCCGGUUCGUGAUGACGUCCUUCGGGUUGUAAACCGGAUUGGCCUGAGACGAAGCGUGGGUGACGGUAAUGGGUAAAGAAGCACCGGCUAACUACGUG
rnacentral:rRNA from 1 species